UACCGUUUCGGAGUUCUCUGUUAAUGGGAUUGGGUUGCGGAGGAGGGAGAGGAGAUUCUUUCUCCCUUUUGACGACACGUGGAUCAACUUGAGAGGUGAUUUUCUUCCUAAUCGCACUGUUGGAUUUCUCUGAUGCAUCGUCUUCUUUUAUCUUCACACAGUGCAGUCUCCUUCUGCUCCCCUCCUGUAGGAGAAAAUCGGUUUCCAGACCUCUACCUGAUGUUUGAUUCUUUGUUACCUUCUCCAUCCCUGCCACAAGUAAAUGAAAAGAUUAGC